UCCUAGAUGGCAUAGUGGCAGAGUAUUUGCCUGCAAUGCAGGAGACUCAGGUUCAAUCCCUGGGUUGGGAA
rnacentral:tRNA from 1 species